AAAUUAAAGAGAUUGGAAUCGGCCAUGGAGAUGAGAAAAUGUUUCGUCACCAUGCUUUUGCUCUUUCUUCUAUUUAUUUCAAACGACGUCGUCAUGGAAGCUGAAGCUGCCGUAUGUUCCAAACCAUCAACAUUUUUUUUCGGUCCUUGCGUUCGUAGAAGCACUUGUAGGCGCGCCUGUUCUCAUGAAAAUUAUCCAGAUGGGAAAUGCUCGAGAUUUCUUGGCAAGUGCAUUUGUUACAAGCCUUGUACAACUUGAAUCAUCGCAAAUUUUGAGAUGUCAAAUCCAAAGUAAUGAAGCAUUGAUAUUGUAAUUAAUGCAAAAUCCUAGUAUCAACUAAGAAGACAUAUCUUUUGCUUCAAUCAUUAAUUUCAGAUACAUUCUUCA